rnacentral:rRNA from 1 species
CCUACGGGAGGCUGCAGUAGGGAAUAUUGCUCAAUGGGGGAAACCCUGAAGCAGCAACGCCGCGUGGAGGAUGAAGGUUUUCGGAUUGUAAACUCCUUUUGGUAGAGAAGAGAAUGACGGUAUCUAACGAAUAAGCACCGGCCAACGCCGGGCCAGCAGCCGCGGUAAUACGGAGGGUGCAAGCGUUACUCGGAACCACUGGGCGGAAAGAGCGCGUAGGCGGGAUCGCAAGUCAGAUGUGAAAUCCUCUGGCUUCACCCUAGAACUGCAUUUGAAACUGUUAUUCUAGCGUAUGGGAGAGGUCGGUGGCAUUCUUGGUGUAGCGGUCAACUCCGUAGAGAUCAAGAGGAAUACUCAUUGCGCCGGCGACCUGCUAGAGCAUAACUGACGCUGAUGCGCGACAGCGUGGGGAGCAAACAGGAUUAGCUACCCGGGUAGUC